CUGGCGACUCUGGUUCUAGGGACAGAAGCGCCCAGCCAGCUGCAUGCUCCUGCCCCUCAGCUUCAGGAGAGCUUUACUGGGUGCAGGGUCGGAGAGGGGCCCCGGCCAGUGUCAGAGAUCCACUGUUUUGAUUUUGAAGGUCAUCCACGCCCACACUGCACUCUGCUCAAGUUCAUUUUCCGUACCAAACACACUGCACUCAGGAGCAUGCCUUGGGAUAUUUGCAGAUAUUCAUCUGUUCUGUAGGCUCACUGGACGCGGCGUUCCUGCACAACCCUGCACACGUACACAGGAGAGGCAUUCCCGCCCGCCGAGGAGUGGCAGUUUGUGGCUGGGCUCAUCAGCACUCCUAACGGCAGUGAGGGCCGCUCACUCACUCGCCCGCCACCAUUGGUGUCUUCCCCAGCCGGGGAGAUGGACACAGACAGCUCCUGCCUCCAGGUUCCUGCCCUGCGUGAGUUCCUGUCCUGACGUCCUUCAGUGAUGAACAGCGAUGUGAUGCGGACCUGUGAGCCAAUUUCACUGUCUAGAGCCUGACGAAUCACCCUGUACACUUGCUGACCACAGAAACAUGACCUGAGGCUGCGUGUUCAAAUAUGAGACCUUGCCUCGAUGAAUGCAGAGGAGAACAAUAGAGGACUCCUGACAUCAGUGUUGGCUGCCACAGGCACACACCUGUCCAUACCCACAUGCAUGUGAACACCUGUACCUAGGCUGCCUGUGCCUCUCUGUGUGCUUUCCUGAGCCAAGAGAGUUCUUGUCUUGAAUGUGUGACGCCUCAGCAUCUAACCCUGAGUGCACAGGCCUCAGGUUAGACCCGAGAUCAUCUUCCUCUUCUGUGAGAUUAAAAGCUAGCUGAGAUGCCCCAAGCAUCCUCCUCGUGAGGGUACAGCUCCUGAGUGUCUGUUUCUCAUCCAUUUUCCUCAUAGAUUUCUGUUAGAAUCCAGACCAAACUGCCUCUCAGCCCACAUCCAGCUGUAGGAGCGGAGGAAACUGGCAAACCCCUACCCACAGCUUGUCUGGGACUCUUCAAGCUCCUAGCGGAAUCCCCAGGUACCUGGGGCAGUGAGAAUGGCAGACGCCAGACUCCAGAGAGCUAUUGGUGGCCACAGUGUAACAGGUUCAUCUCAAUUAGAUGCAUCCCUCCUCACUUCUCCCACAACCACGCAGUUCUCACCCCAAGUCCUCUUCCCUUUCCCUGCUGCCCAGGACUCAGAGACAGCUUUGAGUACAUGAUCCCCCUUCCUCUGGGACCUGUAAGAACGGACCCCUACCUGCCUCAUAGGGAGGACUCUCCUUGGAGGCCCUGCCAUGCUGCUGUCUGUCUGCAGCAUUAAUAACUCUUCUACUAAAUCUUGUGACCCCAAA